rnacentral:tRNA from 24 species
UAGUAAAGUCAGCUAAUUAAGCU